GACGAACGCUGGCGGCGUGCUUAACACAUGCAAGUCGAACGGAAAGGCCCCUUCGGGGGUACUCGAGUGGCGAACAGGUGAGUAACACGUGAGUAACCUGCCCUUGACUUCGGGAUAACUUCAGGAAACUGGGGCUAAUACCGGAUAGGAAUCCUUGCUGCAUGGUGGGGGUUGGAAAGCUUCGGCGGUUUUGGAUGGACUCGCGGCUUAUCAGCUUGUUGGUGGGGUAGUGGCUUACCCAGGCUUUGACGGGUAGCCGGCCUGAGAGGGCGACCGGCCACAUUGGGACUGAGAUACGGCCCAGACUCCUACGGGAGGCAGCAGUGGGGAAUAUUGCACAAUGGGCGGAAGCCUGAUGCAGCAACGCCGCGUGCGGGAUGACGGCCUUCGGGUUGUAAACCGCUUUCAGCAGGGGCGAAGCUUGUGGUGACGGUACCUGCAGAAGAAGCACCGGCUAACUACGUG
rnacentral:rRNA from 1 species